GGGGUAAAGGCUCACCAAGGCAACGAUCAGUAGCGGGUCUGAGAGGAUGAUCCGCCACACUGGGACUGAGACACGGCCCAGACUCCUACGGGAGGCAGCAGUGGGGAAUUUUGGACAAUGGGCGCAAGCCUGAUCCAGCCAUGCCGCGUGUCUGAAGAAGGCCUUCGGGUUGUAAAGGACUUUUGUCCGGGAGCAAAUCCCAGUGGUUAAUACCUACUGGGGCUGAGAGUACCGGAAGAAUAAGCACCGGCUAACUACGUGCCAGCAGCCGCGGUAAUACGUAGGGUGCAAGCGUUAAUCGGAAUUACUGGGCGUAAAGCGUGCGCAGGCGGUUGUGCAAGUCUGAUGUGAAAGCCCCGGGCUUAACCUGGGAACGGCAUUGGAGACUGCACGACUAGAGUGCGUCAGAGGGGGGUAGAAUUCCGCGUGUAGCAGUGAAAUGCGUAGAGAUGCGGAGGAUACCGAUGGCGAAGGCAGCCCCCUGGGAUGACACUGACGCUCAUGCACGAAAGCGUGGGGAGCAAACAGGAUUAG
rnacentral:rRNA from 1 species